rnacentral:rRNA from 1 species
GAUGAACGCUGGCGGCGUGCCUAAUACAUGCAAGUCGAGCGAACAGACGAGGAGCUUGCUCCUCUGACGUUAGCGGCGGACGGGUGAGUAACACGUGGAUAACCUACCUAUAAGACUGGGAUAACUUCGGGAAACCGGAGCUAAUACCGGAUAAUAUAUUGAACCGCAUGGUUCAAUAGUGAAAGACGGUUUUGCUGUCACUUAUAGUUGGAUCCGCGCCGCAUUAGCUAGUUGGUACGGUAACGGCUUACCAAGGCAACGAUGCGAAGCCGACCCGAGAGGGUGGUCGGCCACACUGGAACAGAGACACGGUCCAGACUCCUACGGGGGGCAGCAGUAGGGAAUCUUCCGCAAUGGGCGAAAGCUUGACGGAGCAACGCCGCGGGAGUGAUGAAGGUCUUCGGAUCGUAAGACUCAGUUAUUAGGGAAGAACAAAUGUGUAAGUGACGAUGCACGUCUUGACGGUACCUAAUCAGAAAGCCACGGCUAACUACGUG